rnacentral:rRNA from 1 species
GAUUAACGCUGGCGGCGUGCAUAACACAUGCAAGUCGAACGAUGAAGAUUAAAGGAUUUCUUCGGAAUGACAUUAAUUGGAUUAGUGGCGGACGGGUGAGUAACGCGUGAGUAACCUGCCUUACACGAGGGGAUAGCCGUUGGAAACGACGAAUAAUACCCUAUAACAUUAACCAAUCGCAUGAUAGGUUAAUCAAAGAUUUAUCGGUGUAAGAUGGACUCGCGUCUGAUUAGCUAGUUGGUGGGGUAACAGCCUACCAAGGCAACGAUCAGUAGCCGGCUUGAGAGAGUGUACGGCCACAUUGGGACUGAGACACGGCCCAGACUCCUACGGGAGGCAGCAGUGGGGAAUUUUGCACAAUGGGGAAACCCUGAUGCAGCGACGCCGCGUGAUUUAGAAGGCC